rnacentral:lncRNA from 1 species
GGAAGAAGAAAUCUCCUCGGAAAAGAGCAGCGCAAGAGAUCUGACGUUGGCAACCUCUCCCUUGGAAAAAGGCAGCAAGGCUGCGCUUUAUUUAAACCGGCGGCUUCGGAUUACACCUCCCCGUGCGUAAAGCGCAGGCUCCCCGAGGGCGCGCCGGAGACGCACACGCGACGGAAACGGCGGGUCUCCCUCUGGCUAGAGCUGUCACUCCGCCCGCCUCCAAUAUAUGGAAAAGCGAAAGUGCCUCGGCGAUCAUGUGAGGAGAUCGGGAGAGCCCAUUUCCUCGCAGGGGAGAGGGGGAAAGCACGCUCCAAAAAGAGGGGGGAAAGUGUGCGCGCGCAGGGAAGAUCUCUCGCACGGAUUAGGAGAAUGCCUUUGUCUGCGCCCCCCUGCGGAUCUCAGCAGCUCCUGAAAGGGCUGUUCUUUCUUUCUCUCGCUCUCUUUCUCUCUCUCUCUCCCCCCCCCCUCAUUUUCUUUCGUGGGGAGGAAUGCAGAGGAAAGUUUCCCGAAGUUUGCGCGCUUCGCGGUUGCGUAACAGAAAUGGCAACGGUCGGGGAAACUGGCUUGGCUCUUUGCAGGAAGCGAUGGGAGAUGGAUUGGUCUGAGAUGAUGCAAUAUUCGGAGCGGUUGUGCCCAUUUAGGAAGUCCACUGUUCUGCACCGAAUACAACUUCUGAACAUUUCCCCAAGCCAGCUCUAUACAGGGUGCAUUUCUGUACUCAAAUCUGGAGGUGACUGAAGUGGCCAAAAACUAUUUCUGAGAUGAGGCUGUAGUUGAUAAACCAGCUGUGUGACUGAAAUGCUUAUGGUCCUGGGCACUUUCACAUGACCUUCUUAUUGAGUAUUCCUUCUGACACAGUUGUGGGGAGGUUGAGUGAAGUUGCAUCAAAGCAGCUUUUGAGUUCAUUUCUCCAUUACUUUCCUUAUCACUAAAAGCCUAGUCUUUGGGGGAAGGAGGUUUGUUACGCAGGUGCUGAUCAACUAUAAUUGUGUGAUGUACAUUUGCUAGUCUGUGAUUGAAUUCUACUCAAAAAUAGCAACCGUUUGGAAGCACCUGCUACCCUUCUCCCCCUCCCCCCCAGGUUCUUCCUUCACAUCUGCAUGACUGGAGCAGCGUUGAGAGAAACUACAGAGUAAAAAAUGCUCCUCUCCUACUGCCAGUAAAUGCGACUCAGCCCUUAGGCCUGUACUGGAAGGAACGCACAUGAAUGCAGCCAGAAUUAAUUAAAUGUGUGCAUAAUUGCCAUUCUACUUUUUCAGGUUCUCCAGGUUUUCCCUAUGUCUUUGAUCAUUAAAGCAGAUCUCACAGUUUCUGUGCCUUCUGCACUGUUCCCCUCGAAAGUGGGUAGAUGUGAACUGACACUAGUAAUUUUUUUUGUGUGUGUGAUAAGUAUCUGGGAAAUGUUACCAUUCUUCUAAAAAGGACCUAGACCGUCUCUAAGAAAUCUUUGCGGGUCAAGCCUUGGACUGCUCUGGAAUGCAGUCAGACCAAACCUGUCAGGGAAUCGUUGGGGGAUAACAAGAUCGGGGGGCUAACUAAGGGCCCAUCUACAUAGAUUCACAAAAUCCAGAUUUUCAGUAUUCUGUCAUCUAUAAGUCUAUACUUGAAUGCCUUGUAUUUUGAUUGUACCCUGAAAACCUGUUUGAAUAAUCCAGCAUUUCUGGAUCUCCUCUCCACGUUUCCAGAAUCUGCAGUGACCACAUGCUGGUUGGUUGGGUGGAGUUGUGUACAGGGUAUUCUGUUUUGCUGUUGAUCCACCUGUAGUUUGGAUGGGUCCCUCUAAAUGCCGCUUGUUGGAAAUGGUGGCUAUCAAAUGAGAGCCCUCUGAAGAUGGGUAAUUAACACAGAUGGCUAGACCAUGCUUGCUUAAUGUAAGGUUACCAGAUUUUUUUCAAUGAAUCUGGGGACACUUUUCAACUUCAGCCGGAAUGCAUGGGUUUUGCUAGGGGCUGAUUUGUAAAUCUGGGGACUGUCCCCGGGAAACAAAGACGUCUGGUAACCUUAGCUAUAAUAAUAAUAAUAAUAAUAAUAAUAAUAAUAAUAAUAAUAAUAAUUUAUUUAUACCCCACCCAUCUGGCUGGGCCUCCCCUGCCACUCUGGGCGGCUUCCAAAAGAAUAUUAAAAUACUAUAAUACAUCAAACAUUAAAAGCUUCCUGAAACAGGGCUGCCUUCACAUGUCUUCUAAAAGCCUGGUAGUUGUUGUUCUCUUUGACAUCUGGUGGGAGGUGUUCCACAGGGAAGGCGCCACUACCGAGAAGGCCCUCUGCCUGGUUCCCUGUAACUUGGCUUCUCGCAGUGAGGGAACCGCCAGAAGGCCCUCGGUGCUGGACCUCAGUGUCCGGGUAGAACGAUGGGGGUGGAGACGCUCCUUCAGAUAUACUGGACCAAUGGACCAAGGCCGUUUAGGGCUUUAAAGGUCAGCACCAACACUUUGAAUUGUGCUCGGAAACGUACUGGGAGCCAAUGUAGGUCUUUCAAGACCGGUGUAAUGAGUAUUGAUGGCUGGUGGCUGCCAUUUAUUUCUCAUAUUCCAUCUGCUUGGGCCUGGUUAGGCUAAGGACAGCUUGGUUGUCCUGAAAGAGCUUGAAGACUUCACAGCUGGCAAAAAGCAGCUACCGCCGGGAGGGUUUGGUUAAUGCAUGCUCAUCCUGUUUAAUGAUUAGCAAUGUGCCUGGUUGCUAGCCUAUUCCUCUGUGCUCAACUUGUAAACAGACCUGUAUUACAAAAGCACCAGGUGUCCAUUGAAUGACCAUGCAAAAAGCUGACCCUGCAACUUCCGUUGAAACGUUACCAAGUAAGAUAGCAUGGAGGAUGCUGUUCUGACUAUGGACACUUAUCGAAGGCCACCUUCAGAUUGUCAGAAUUCUGCGGGAGGGAUUCAGGUACCUACGCGAAAUUUAGAUUUGCAUUAAAGCGCUCUGUUGCAGCAAAUACGCUGCAAUCAACCUCCCCAUCAACAAAUUGGAACAAAUGUGCACUAAAAAAACAAAGUCUAACCUCCUGUGUCAGCUUUUUGCAAGCAAAUCAGGAUGAAUGCUUGCUAAGCACUGGAGGAACCCCAAGCCCAUGAAGGACCUCCAGAGAUAACCAUGUAUCCAACUAUGCUCUUUCGGAUGUAUAAGAGAGCAGCUUAUGAUGCUAUCAUACAGAGCUGCAUAUCCAUAUGGGCCAUUAACAGCAGCAGAAUUGCAGUAACCCACCUGAGAAGCAUCUUGGUGUGACUUUCUCCUGAUAUACAGUACACAUCUUUGUAUGCAAUUCUUCCUAACAGUGCACGACUACAACCCUCUGCCCACCACCCAAAUAGAUUUAUUUUGUAACUACUUCCAAGGAGCCAACUUGUUCCAACUUUCUUUUGAAGCGAUUCCACCACCUGGUAACAAAGACAGAAAUUUAAAACAUUAGAAGAAGGAGAAAGCCGUUUGUGAAACAGAUAAAAAUGGUUUACAGGAGUUGAGGGACUUUAGACAUUUACUUUGCUCAAAUGACCUGUGCAACUUGUUCUGGACAAGAUGAACUUUAGAGGGGCUGGUGUGCAAAUGAAGUAAAAACAAGGAAGGAUCCUACAUCUGGCAGAUGUUCACUGUUGCUUUUAUAUUGAUAAUAUUGCUAUUAUUGACCAUGUCGCUUGCUGACAGGGAGUCCUUGGAAUUGAAUGUAGGGGCAUUGAACUCAACAGUGACUGUGCAAACAUUAAAGCAAAACACUGCUCUCUGACCCCAGCACAUGCCUGGAAGCCAGAGGUGUUUGGCCCCCAGAGCCAAAGGACACACACCUUCCAGACCCUCCAAGUGUCCCUAUUUUCCAAGGACAGUCCCAGAUGUACAGAAGCUGUCCCGGUUUCUGACUUGAUCCCGGAAUUUCCAGCUUUUCCAUAGGACGUCCCUGUUUUCAUCAGAGCAAUGUUGGAGGGUAUGGCGUUACGUAACCCUUAAGCCUUUAGAAGAAAUCUGAAGGCAGCCCUGUAUAGGGAGGUUUUUUAAUGUUUAAUUAUGUUUAAAUAUAUAUUAGAAGUGGGUGGGGCAUUAUUAUUAUUACUGAAUAGGGCAUCCCUAUUUUCAUCGGAAAAACGUUGGAGGGUAUGCCCUUCCCAGUCUGCAUUCCCU